rnacentral:rRNA from 1 species
GAGUUUGAUCGUGGCUCAGGACGAACGCUGGCGGCGUGCUUAACACAUGCAAGUCGAACGGUGAACCACCUUCGGGUGGGGAUCAGUGGCGAACGGGUGAGUAACACGUGGGCAACCUGCCCUUAGCUCUGGGAUAACCCCGGGAAACCGGGGCUAAUACCGGAUACGACUCCGAGCGGCAUCACUCGGGGUGGAAAGUUUUUCGGCUAAGGAUGGGCCCGCGGCCUAUCAGCUUGUUGGUGGGGUAACGGCCUACCAAGGCGACGACGGGUAGCCGGCCUGAGAGGGCGACCGGCCACACUGGGACUGAGACACGGCCCAGACUCCUACGGGAGGCAGCAGUGGGGAAUAUUGCGCAAUGGGCGAAAGCCUGACGCAGCGACA